GACGAACGCUGGCGGCGUGCUUAACACAUGCAAGUCGAACGAUGAAGCAAAGAAUUGAAGCUUCGGCAGAAAUUCAUUUCGGAUUAGUGGCAGACGGGUGAGUAACGCGUGAGCAACCUACCUCUUACAAAGGGAUAGCCUCGGGAAACCGGGAUUAAUACCAUAUAACAUUGCGACGAAGCAUUUCGAUGCAAUCAAAGCUACGGCGGUAAGAGAUGGGCUCGCGUCCCAUUAACCAGAUGGUGAGGUAACGGCUCACCAUAGUAACGAUGGGUAACCGGCCUGAGAGGGUGAACGGUCACACUGGAACUGAGACACGGUCCAGACUCCUACGGGAGGCAGCAGUGGGGAAUAUUGCACAAUGGAGGGAACUCUGAUGCAGCGACGCCGCGUGAGUGAUGAAGGAAUUCGUUUCGUAAAACUCUGUUCUAUGGGAAGAAAAGGACUGUACCAUAGGAGAAAGCUCCGGCUAAAUACGUG
rnacentral:rRNA from 1 species